GAUGAACGCUGGCGGCGUGCCUAAUACAUGCAAGUCGAGCGAACAGACGAGGAGCUUGCUCCUCUGACGUUAGCGGCGGACGGGUGAGUAACACGUGGAUAACCUACCUAUAAGACUGGGAUAACUUCGGGAAACCGGAGCUAAUACCGGAUAAUAUAUUGAACCGCAUGGUUCAAUAGUGAAAGACGGUUUUGCUGUCACUUAUAGAUGGAUCCGCGCCGCAUUAGCUAGUUGGUAAGGUAACGGCUUACCAAGGCAACGAUGCGUAGCCGACCUGAGAGGGUGAUCGGCCACACUGGAACUGAGACACGGUCCAGACUCCUACGGGAGGCAGCAGUAGGGAAUCCUCCGCAAAGGGCGAAAGCCUGACGGAGCAACGCCGCGUGAGUGAUGAGGGUCUUCGGAUCGUAAAACUCUGUUAUUAGGGAAGAACAAAUGUAUAAGUAACUAUGCACGUCUUGACGGUACCUAAUCAGAAAGCCACGGCUAACUACGUG
rnacentral:rRNA from 1 species